rnacentral:rRNA from 1 species
GACGUUACUCGCAGAAGAAGCCCCGGCUAACUCCGUGCCAGCAGCCGCGGUAAUACGGAGGGUGCAAGCGUUAUUCGGAAUUACUGGGCGUAAAGCGCGCGCAGGCGGUUGGAUAAGUUAGAUGUGAAAUCCCCGGGCUCAACCUGGGAAUUGCAUUUCAAACUGUCCAUCUAGAGUGCUGUAGAGGGGGGUAGAAUUCCAGGUGUAGCGGUGAAAUGCGUAGAGAUCUGGAGGAACACCGGUGGCGAAGGCGGCCCUCUGGACAAAGACUGACGCUCAGGCGCGAAAGCGUGGGGAGCAAACAGAAGUAGAUACCCUGGUAGUCCACGCCGUAAACGAUGUCGAUGUUGAGGCUGUGUCCUAGAGAUGUCACUUCUGGAGUUAACGUGUUAAAUUGACCUCCUGGGGAGUACGGCUGCAAGGUUAAAACUCAAAUGAAUUGAGGGGGGCCCGCACAAGCGGUGGAGCAUGUGGUUUAAUUAGAUGCAACGCAAAGAACGUUAAUUGGCCUUGACAUGUCUGGAAUCCUGUAGAGAUACGGGAGUGCCUUGGGGAAUCAGAACACAGGUGCCUGCAUGGCUGUUGUCAGUUUGUGUCGUGAGAUGUUGGGUUAAGUCCCGCAACGAGCGCAACCCCUGUCCUUUGUUGCCAGCACGUAUGGUGGGAACUCAAGGGAGACUGCCGGUGAUAAACCGGAGGAAGGUGGGGAUGAUGUCAAGUCAUCAUGGCCCUUAUCGGCCAGGGAUACACACGUGGUACAAUGGCGCGUACAGAGGGUUGCAAGCUAGCGAUAGUGAGGGAAUCCCAAAAAGUGCGUUGUAGUCCGGAUUGGAGUAUGCAAUUUGAAUCCAUGAAGUUGGAAUCGUUAGUAAUCGCUAAAUCAGAAUGUUGCGGUGAAUACGUUCCUCGGGCCUUGUACACACCGCCCGUCACACCAUGGGAGUGGGUUGCACACUAGAAGUAGAUAGAUUUAACCUUCGGGAGGGCGUUUACCACGGUGUG